AGAGUUUGAUCCUGGCUCAGAUUGAACGCUGGCGGCGUGCUCAACACAUGCAAGUCGUGCGAGAAAGGGGACUUCGGUCCCUGAGUAGAGCGGCGCACGGGUGAGUAACGCGUGGAUAAUCUCCCCAGAAGUUCGGGAUAACGGCGGGAAACUGCCGCUAAUACCGGAUACGCUCCAAUUUCGGUUGGGGGAAAGGCGGCCUCUGUUUACAAGCUGUCGCUUCUGGAUGAGUCCGCGUCCCAUUAGCUUGUUGGUGGGGUAAUGGCCUACCAAGGCUACGAUGGGUAGCUGGUCUGAGAGGAUGAUCAGCCACACUGGAACUGAAACACGGUCCAGACUCCUACGGGAGGCAGCAGUGGGGAAUAUUGCGCAAUGGGGGAAACCCUGACGCAGCGACGCCGUGUGAGGGAUGAAGGCUUUC
rnacentral:rRNA from 1 species